GUUCAUGAAGUACUAUUCCCGUGAGCAGUGCUGGGCUUAGGCAUGUUCGAGCUUCUAGCGUCUUCUCCCAAAAUCUCUCUAGACGCUUCUCGCCUCCUCUGCUGCCUGUCUCUCUAUACUCUUCUCCCAUUCUCUGCCGCUCAAGAGAGGGUUUGCUCUUCUCACUUUCUCUCUCGCCCAAGAUCUCUCUCUGUAUCUCUCUCACCUGUUCCUUUGGUCUUAGCUCGGAGGUGUGUGCUCUCCUGAAACGUCCAUAAAGAUCUACAUAGAAAACUCCAGCUAUUAUUAUCCUGACCAAUCUCAACCAGUUCGGGCUGGGUAUAAACCCUGGGUUUCUGACUUUUCUCUCGCCUUCCAGAUCGUUCUUGAGACUUGCCCUUUUCUCUCCCCAAAAAUCUGAUCUUCGCUCUUGCAUCCAUCCGACUCUAAUCCUCCACCUUGCUGAAAUCUCGCCUUCUUCAAAACCGCUUGAAUCUUAUAAGUCUCCUCAUCAUCUCAAAAAUCUGGUGGGUUGUGAAUUUUUUUUUCCUAGGUUUUUAUCAUUUUUUUUGUUUGAAUGAUUUCUUUUCAUGUCUUCAGGUUCUGUGAUUGAUUGCCUUUCUUAGAAAAGAGAGUUCUAUCACGGCCAAGAAAUGUACUGCUUCUUGAGUAAUUGGUUUUCAAUUUAUUCUUCUUCUGAAUUGAGGAAAGAGUGCCUUCUUCCGAAGGAAGAACAUCUUCUUCUUAAAUUGAAUCCUUCUGCUACAAAAUUAUGUUGUUAAGGAAAUUGAGAUAUAGCUUUUACUUUCUUUUUUUUCCAUCAAGUAUUGAUUUCAGUGAAGGACUAUCAGUUGGUUCCAUUGUCUUGAUGUGCACAUAGACAUGCAGAUAGAGCGUGGCAGCACUUUAUAAUAGCAUUAUUCCACUCAUUCCAGUUAGGUAACAACAUACUAGACCUGUUGAGCAUUUUUAAAAUUAAGCACCAAGUGCAUUUUCUCUUGACAAAAUCUACAGUUAGGAGAGUGUGCUUACAAUCUUGCUUGCACAAUAAUUCCUUGCCAUCAUAAUGUCAGAAUGAUAUCAAUUGAUUGAAUUAGUUUUGGUGAAGUUGUAAAGUUGAUUUCGUAAUUUAGUUGUUGUUUUGUUUGGUUUUAAAAAAAAAUUAUAUGAUAUAUAAGUUAACUGUCAACUUUAAUCAUUGUUCCUUUCUUUGUUGACUGUUGAUUGGUACUAUCCUCAUUCAUUGUUCUCAAUCAAGUACAAAUAAAAUUGUUAUUAGGACCGUAAACUUGAAAGAUCAAGGAAAAAAAAUUAAAUUUGUGCCCCCCAGAUCGUUUUCAGAUAUUAAAAACUUGAGUACUAGCACCAGGGCAACAGUUUUCCAAAUUAUUGGUUUACACCCUAAACUUUAACUUGCCACAUUACCAAUUCUACUUUGUAUUUUAUUGUUCGGGGAGGAAACAAGCACAUAAUACAGAUAAACCCAAUAAGUUCAUCUUGCAUUCCCCAUGAGUUUAUGCAAAGUUCAAAAGGCUAAACCAUGCCCUUCAAACGUGUCUUUGCUUCAAUAAUCUUCCUUUUUACUCAAAUUAUUGGUUUUUUUUUACAGUCUUCCUUUACUCUAUUAAAACCCAAAGGACUUUCCAUCAACUGACGCAUUAAUCUCCCAUCUCUUUUGCUCUUAUUGUAAAUAGAAAAGGAAACACUUGGCAGUUUCUGUUAUCUGUUCUCUGAUAUUAGCAUCAAUUCUUCUCAACAGGCAAGUCCAGUUAUUCGGCCUUAUGUCUUUCUCUUUAGUAAAACAGUAUGUUUUCAUUGUUUUAGACCUCCCAAGGAAUCAAUUAUGGCAAUCAUCUGCAUUAUUAUGUUAUCGUGCAUCAUAAUGUAUACAUGGUGGAACUAGAACCUCAGGUACAAAACCGUGGAGAAUGCAAUGCUGAAGCAAAAUAGUUGAACUAGAAGCUCAAGUACAAAACCAUGGAGAAUGCAAUGCUGAAGCAAAACAGUGGUACUAGACUAGAAAUUUUCUUAUUUGAUAUCAAAUAAUUAUAGUCAAUGGAACUUACAAAUGUGUAUCACUACAUUCUUAUUUUCUCAUACAUUUAUCAACUUUUGUGUUUUUUAUUUCAGCUAUCAAACAUAGUUAUGCUCCAUAGAAGUUAGAGAAAAAGUUAUUUACAUGAACUUUUGUUGUUAAGGUUAGUUUUUCAAAUUGUGUUAAUUUGUUUCCAGUUUAUUUUCUUAGUUUAGGGAAGUGGAAUAUGCCUAGACCAACGGUUUGGCAUUCACAUACUGUUCAAUCCUCAGAUUAACAAUGUAGAUAGAACUUAUUUAAUCUUUCACUCAAUUCAUCUUAACCAUCUCUUAAGUGGUCUAUGCUUCCUUCUAGUGGAGAUUUUGUAACUUUCAGGGUACCAUGUAUCAUUGUUUUGUUGUAUCUUUA
rnacentral:lncRNA from 1 species